UACGAAGGGGGCUAGCGUUGCUCGGAAUCACUGGGCGUAAAGCGCACGUAGGCAGCUUUCUAAGUCAGGGGUGAAAUCCUGGAGCUCAACUCCAGAACUGCCUUUGAUACUGGAGAGCUUGAGUCCGGGAGAGGUGAGUGGAACUCCGAGUGUAGAGGUGAAAUUCGUAGAUAUUCGGAAGAACACCAGUGGCGAAGGCGGCUCACUGGCCCGGUACUGACGCUGAUGUGCGAAAGCGUGGGGAGCAAACAGG
rnacentral:rRNA from 1 species